UGGUCCUUAAGACUUUGUAUUGAGAGUGGUA
rnacentral:piRNA from 1 species